rnacentral:rRNA from 1 species
AAGUCGAACGCGAAAGGGAGCAAUCCCCGGUAGCGUGGCAGACGGGUGAGUAACACGUGGGUAACCUACCCGGAGGUGGGGGAUAACCCUUCGAAAGGAGGGCUAAUACCGCAUGAUACCGCGGGGACCUCGGUCCUCGCGAUCAAAGCUGGCCUCUGUUUACAAGCUAGCGCCACCGGAUGGGCCCGCGCCCCAUUAGCUAGUUGGUGAGGUAACGGCUCACCAAGGCGACGAUGGGUAGCCGGCCUGAGAGGGCGAUCGGCCACACUGGAACUGCGACACGGUCCAGACUCCUACGGGAGGCAGCAGUGAGGAAUAUUGCGCAAUGGGCGAAAGCCUGACGCAGCGACGCCGCGUGGAGGAUGAAGGUCUUCGGAUUGUAAACUCCUGUCGAGUGGGACGAAUGCCGUAAGGGUUAACAGCCCUUGCGGUUGACGGUACCGCUGGAGGAAGCCCCGGCUAACUCCGUGCCAGCAGCCGCGGUAAUACGGAGGGGGCUAGCGUUGUUCGGAAUCAUUGGGCGUAAAGGGCGCGUAGGCGGCCGAUCAAGUCGGAGGUGAAAUCCCUCGGCUCAACUGAGGAAUUGCCUUCGAUACUGUUCGGCUUGAGUCCUGGAGAGGGUAGCGGAAUUCCCGGUGUAGCGGUGAAAUGCGUAGAGACCGGGAAGAACACCAGUGGCGAAGGCGGCUACCUGGACAGGUACUGACGCUGAAGCGCGAAAGCUAGGGGAGCAAACAGGAUUAGAUACCCUGGUAGUCCUAGCUGUAAACGAUGGGCACUUGGUGUUGCGGGUAUCGACCCCUGCAGUGCCGAAGCUAACGCAUUAAGUGCCCCGCCUGGGGAGUACGGUCGCAAGGCUGAAACUCAAAG